rnacentral:rRNA from 1 species
UACGUAGGGUGCAAGCGUUGUCCGGAAUUAUUGGGCGUAAAAGAGCUCGUAGGCGGUCUGUUGCGUCGGCUGUGAAAACCCGGGGCUCAACCCCGGGCCUGCAGCCGAUACGGGCAGACUAGAGUUCGGCAGGGGAGACUGGAAUUCCUGGUGUAGCGGUGAAAUGCGCAGAUAUCAGGAGGAACACCGGUGGCGAAGGCGGGUCUCUGGGCCGAUACUGACGCUGAGGAGCGAAAGCGUGGGGAGCGAACAGG